UGCCCAGCAACUCCUAUCCCUACCUCCUCGUGGUACCGGCCGGAAACUGUGAGCAACCUUAGGGAAAAUCGGGUAACCCACCCCCGUAGGCUGACAGGGAAGG
rnacentral:ribozyme from 1 species